AUUCCCCUAGUAACUGCGAGUGAAAAGGGAAAAGCCCAGCGCCGAAGCCACCGUCCAGCAAUGGGCGGAGGGCAAUGUGGCGUUAAGGAGGAGCCUCCUCGACCAGACGUAUCGUUGAUCGGACCGUGGAAGCCUGAGUCCCCCUGACCGGGGCCGCUACCCACAGCGGGUGCAAGGCCUCUUUGGCUUCGUUCGACGGUUCGGAGGUUGCUGGCUUCCUUCCUAAGAGUCGGGUUGCUUGAGAGUGCAGCUCUAAGUGGGUGGUAAACUCCAUCUAAGGCUAAAUACAACCAUGAGACCGAUAGCGAACAAGUACCGUGAGGGAAAGUUGCAAAGAACUUUGAAGAGAGAGUUCAAGAGUACGUGAAACCGCUCGGAGGCAAACGGGUGGGACCUCGAAGGUCGAACGGGGGAAUUCAGCCGGUCGGCCGAGAAAACCGAUUCCAGUUUUUGACGGAUCCCGUGAAAACGGACCGGGCUGGCGGAAAGGUUUUUUUUUCAAUCGCGCCGGCCGGUGCACUUUCCCCUCAGUAGGACGCCGCGACCGGUCGGGUUUUCUAAAAAGAAAAACAAGUGCGGCCAUGAGGCGAGAAAAAUCAAAAAAAGGGGCAGGUGUCCGUUUCCGAGUCGGGCUCGUUUUCGAGUGGUUUCUUUUUUCGGAAAGGAAUUCUUGGAUUCGGGUCGUUCUGUUCGGUCGGAGUUACAGCCUCUUCUCGACCCGUGCACCGCCACCCGACCGACAAAAGGUCACGACAAUAAAAAAACCGUUGACGCGUGCCCGCGUACACAAAAAGCGCUCGCCCUCGUCCCGGGCAGGCUGGGUGCCGAGUAUAAAGUUUCUUUCCAUCCAACAGGAGAAAAUUUAUUUUUUUCUGGGGAAGAAAUCCGACGGACGCCGGUCUAACAAACCGUAAAUAAGGCGGCCGCCGGCUCGGCUCCUGCUGUUGGCCCACGGGGAAUUGCGAUCUGGCGUGGAUAAGGCAUCGCUCGCGNNNNNNNNNNNNNNNNNNNNNNNNNNNNNNNNNNNNNNNNNNNNNNNNNNNNNNNNNNNNNNNNNNNNNNNNNNNNNNNNNNNNNNNNNNNNNACACGUGCUAAACCCGAAGGCGAAAUGAAAGUAAAAUGAAAAAAAGUCGCGUUUUGGUGCGGGGCGGAGAAGGAAGGGGGCUUGCUCUUUUUCUUUUUUUCCUCAAACCGUUCGCACUUUAUUUUUAUGAGGCGAGAUCCUAUCAAAAAUGAAAAAACUAGAUGUCGAAAGGCAAACGCCUCUUUCGUCGGGGGAAUUAUCCGGAAACCCUUUUACCGGGGAAUUUGGUUUUUUUUCUCUGUUCGUUAAGGCGGUCUAGAGGCGCAUCGCCGGCCCGUCUCGCUCGCUGCCCUUCUGCCGCCCUUGCUUGUUAUUUUCUCGAUGGUUUUCCGAACUUGGUUGGGGGGGGGGUUCUCCUCCUCCUUUCCUAAACCGGUAGCCCUCUCGGGCAAGCUUGCAUUUCGGUAGGCGUUGGGACUCGCGUCGACGAGGCGGAGCAAGAGCAUACACGUUGGUACCCGAAAGAUGGUGAACUAUGCCCGGGCAGGACGAAGCCAGGGGAAACCCUGGUGGAGGUCCGUAGCGAUUCUGACGUGCAAAUCGAUCGUCGGACCUGGGUAUAGGGGCGAAAGACUAAUCGAACCAUCUAGUAGCUGGUUCCCUCCGAAGUUUCCCUCAGGAUAGCUGGCACUCACUUGAAAAGCAGUCUCAUCCGGUAAAGCGAAUGAUUAGAGGCAUUGGGGCCGAAACGGCCUCAACCUAUUCUCAAACUUUCAAUGGGUGAGAUGCCCGGCUUGCUUAGGCUGAAGUUCGGGUUAUCGUAGACUUGUUUGGAUGCGAGUUGCCAAGUGGGCCACUUUUGGUAAGCAGAACUGGCGCUGUGGGAUGAACCAAAAGCCGGGUUACGGCGCCCGAUGCAGAGACGCUAAUCAGACCCCAUGAAAGGUGUUGGUUGCUAUAGACAGCAGGACGGUGGCCAUGGAAGUCGGAAUCCGCUAAGGAGUGUGUAACAACUCACCUGCCGAAGCAACUAGCCCUGAAAAUGGAUGGCGCUCCAGCGUUGAGCCUAACCCCGGCCGCCGGGGCAGAAAAAAGUUUUUGUAAAAAAUUNCAANCCCCCNNNNNNNNGGAGGGNCGGGGGGGCGNGNNNNAAGGGANUNGGGNGGGACCCCCCCCGGACCCCCCCCGGGGGCAAAUUUGGGGGGAAGNAGAAAAUACUCGAGGGAAACCNGGNGGGNUGAANNGGAGAAGGGUUCCNUNUGAACAGCANUUGAACNUGGGUCNGUUGGCCCUAAGGAAAAGGGGAAACCCCUUCCCAAGGGNUGUAAGUNGGNUGNAANAAAANAAAUGNCCGGCANCAAGUUUCGACCGAAAGGGGAAUCGGGUUAAUAUUNCCGAACCCGGANGCAAANAUCGGCCGUCGAUUUUUUUUUUUUUCUACCUUUAAGUUCCUUGAAAUUUCCCCUUUCGGGGGGUCUUUUUAAUUGGUUCAGGGGUGAAAGAUGAAAACGGCGGCCAAAAGCGGUAACGCGAUAACGAACUCGGAGAUUGUCGGCGGGAGCCCCGGGAAGAGUUUUCUUUUCUUUGUAAAGGACGUACUCCCUGGAAUCGGUUCGCCCGGAGAGAGGGAUGUUUAGUUCCUGUAAAGCACCGCGGCUCUUGCGGUGUCCGGAGCGCUCUCGCCGGCCCUUGAAAAUCCGAGGGAGUGAAAAUAUUUUUGCACCGGA
rnacentral:rRNA from 1 species